GGAGAGAUGGCAGAGCGGACGAAUGCGCCGCACUCGAAAUGCGGUAUGGGGCAACCCAUCGUGGGUUCGAAUCCCACUCUCUCCACCA
rnacentral:tRNA from 1 species